GGGCCGGCGGUGGCGCGCGCGUGCGCGUGCGCGCGAGGCAGCUGCAGGUCCACGGCCGGACGGUAGAGGCCUCCCUUCUGAGGAGGCGGCGCGGCCGCAACCGGCUGGGGCUCUGCUCCCCAGCUCGCGGGUCCUUCCCGACGGAGUCCCUGCGCGGCCCGACCCAGUGCAUAGAAGCAACUAAAAAACAAAUAUGUGUUUGAGCCCCAGAGAGAUUAUGUGGCUUCAUAAAGAUAGUAUGGCUGGUCAGCUGUCUCCACUCCUGAGGUCAUCACUCAUCAAGAGGGGAUAAUCCCAAGGACAGCAGGAUCUGCUUCGUCACUUGGAUUUAGGAGUGAGAAACCCAUCAGGCAACUAAACAGUAACAAUGACCCGCCAUUAAACACACUGAGAGAAGAGCAUGAUGAGGAGAUUGUACAAGAAGAAUCCCAGGGCUCUUGCUGACAACGCCUAUGGAGUCACUGACCACUGUGAGCUCUGCCCAUUGAACUGCAGUGAAAAAUCUCCCCCUCCCCAGAGAUGCUUGGAUGUGGGCACAGUAUCAGUUCAGACAAUGGUCUUUGCUUGGAUUUAGAGUGGAAAGAAUUUGUGCUGUGGGGUAAAAAGACCUGGGUCUGAACUGUCACUCUGCCACUUCUGUGUAGUAUGCUUUGGCAACAUUAAAAAAAAAUCUCUCUGAGCCUCGGUUUUUCUUGUCUGCAAAAUGGAGCAAAUACCGACACAGAGGGCUUUUAAGAGGACCAAAUACAACAGUGUUUGAAAAGCACAAGCUAGGUACUUCGCUUUAUGGAAAAAGAGCAAGAUGUGGGGCCAAAAAAGAAACUGGCAUACACAAAAAAUAUUUUCUCAAAAUUAUUUUUUGUCCAAGGCACUCCACCUCAGAAGGUAUGCUUAUUUUUUACCUUAGAUACCAGGAGGGAAGAGAGAGAGGAUGGGGAAAGUCAGAUUCUAGCUCUUACACAAGAAAAUUCACUCUAUAUAAUUUUCCGACAAUGUUGCUGUCCUUCCUCAAACACUGGGGCCACAGGCAUCAUGCCAAAGAAGUCAGCAGCCUGGAAGAUAUUUUAAACUGACUCUGGGACUGAACGACAGGCCAUUUGCUCCAUAUGCCACUGACGCGUUAAUCUAGGCAAGGCUGCUAGGCACCUGGGGACAUCCAUGCUAAAAUGCCAUUUAGGCGGGGUGCACCCAGUACAGUGGCAGAAGUUCAUCAGCACAAACCAUGAGGGCAGCCAAGAGGAUAGAAGUGGCAAGGAAGAGUGAGAAGGAGGUGCACUCUCUAAGCCUGGAAAGAUUUUCUGAGUUGCAGACACUUCAUUAUGCUUCUAGGAGAGCUGCAGAUUCAACAAAACAUCAAAACUGGGUAUUUACAAUCUGGACAAAUGAGUACCUGCUACUUUUGCACCCAUUAUACCACGUGGCCGCCAACCCCAUGACCCUUCUAUCCACUGGCAAAUACUGGGCGACGCUCUAGUCUACUAGAAUGACCUCCUUUAUCCCUGCAGUUUCGUCAUAAAAAGCAAGUGGCUGCUGAGCGACUAUAGUAGAUGCCCCAGUGUCAGACUUCCCAGGAUCCAAUUUGGUGGGAGGACUCUGGGCCUUUGGUCUCCUUCUUCCUUUUGCCCAGCCCUGUUUCUUGGUUACUCUGAGCAGUAAUGAGCUUCUCUACCCCAGCAUGAGGACAGGCUCACAGCUAGCACAUGAAAAAGGCUGAGCUCGUGUGGGGCAACUACUCUAUUUCAUGGGCAGAUCACACAUCUGUUUUUUCCCUUCUUCUGCAAUGCAACUACACUAAUGAUUUUUUUUUUUUUAAGUAGGAAUAAGGCAGUGCUAUGGCUUUCUGAGAAAAAAACAGUCACAUGGCGGGAUAAUUGCAACAGACAUCAUAAAAGGAGCUAGAAUGAAAUGCCCACCCAUUCUUGUCUUUGGAGCAAAUGAUUUCCAAGAGCAAAAGUCUCGUUCUAAACUGGGGGAUGUUAAUAAACAAAUAGAAUCACUGCCCUAAUUAUUUUCUUUCAGGCAAAUUAAACUUCUGAAAAAAUCAGCUUUUCCUGUUAAUGUUAGCUAUUUUUCAUAAUCAGAUGAAUCUGAAAGAUUAUAAAAAUCAGAUUAGGCCACCAAAGAAUGAGAGUUCUCCCAGAGUUCUCUGUGGCAAAUAGCUCAGAGUUGUCAUUGUUGAGGAUGGGCUCUGGGAACAGCCCAUGAUUCAAGUCCAGAGCUCUGUCCCUUAUUCAUUAAUGAGCACUGGCAACUUACUCAACACUCCCUACCAAGUCUCUGUUUCUUCAUCUGUAAACUUGUACAGUGUAACCCCACCUUCCAGGGCUGUUAUGAGAAUUCUUAGAGUAGAUUUGUUUGUAGUGAGGAGCAUACUUUCUGGCAUGUGGUCAGGGGAUCUGUGGUAAAGUCAUAGAGCUGAUCUUGGGAACCACAUGUCACUUCUGUUUUUCAGUAGAGCGACAUUAUCUCUGUGUGUUCUUAGCAAAGACCAAAUGGAUGUUUUAAUCGUAAAAUAAUAGGUAUUUUCUGAGCCUUCACCACUAGACCCAGUGGGCUUUAUUAUGCAUUAUAAAAGAUUUGUAAGAAGUAGAAGAGGUUUGGGGCGCCUGGGUGGCUCAGUCGGUUGGGCGGCUGACUUUGGCUCAGGUCAUGAUCUCACUCAUGGCUCAUGACUUCGAGCCCCGCGUUGGGCUCUGUAGUGACAGCUCAGAGCCUGGAUCCUGCAUUGGAUUCUGUGUCUCCCUCUCUCUUUGCCCCUCCCCUGCUCAUGCUCUGUGUCUCUCUCUCUCUCUCAAAAAUAAACAUUAAAAAAUUUUUAAAAAAAGUAGAAGAGGUUUUUUUGUUUCUUUGUUUGUUUGUUUCUUGGCUCAGGAGUAGCUUAAAAUCAGCCAGGAAGGACAGUGACACAAAUUUUAAUCCAAAACCCAAUGUUUGGCAACUCUAUCUUAAAUGAGAUCCAUCUUAAAACCCAUGUUAAAUGAGAUCCUUACACCUUACUGCAGUAGUCCUUACCUUGUCUUCUUGCACCCAUCCUUGACCCCCGUAUAGCCAAUUCACAGAGCACUCAUAUCUUCUCAAAAUUUGCUGACUGCUCCCUAUUUUACAUAGAAUGAAAUUCAAAGUCUUCACUCCCAUGCCCUUCAUGGUCUGGGUUCCAGUUACCUUCCUGAGUAUAUCUCUUAUUGCGCUCUCCUUUGUUCACUCCCCUUCAGCAAUACUAGCCUCGUUAAUUGCACCAACUAUGCUCCUGCUUCAGAACCUCUGGACUUGCUAAUGUCUCUCUGGAAUGUUCUUCCCUAUGUAUUCAUAUGGCUUGCUCUUCUACUUUAAAUUUCUGUUCAAAUGUCACAUAAUCAGAGAAGGCUUCCUUGACCACUCUUUUUAAAUAAUCACCCCACCCUGCUAUUCUCUAUCCCCUCAUUCUGCUUUAUUUUUCUUCACAGAGCCGUCAAGACUUGAUAUAGGGAGGUUAAUGUGGGGACACCUGGCUGGCUCAGUCAGUGGAGGAUGCAACUCUCGGACUCGUGCCCUCCUCAGUGCCCGUCACUCCUAUGAGAAGAAUUUAAAUCAAGAUUCAAAGGACCAAAAAGAAAACACAAUCUACAGAGAUACAAGCAUUCAAACGCCAAACCAAAAGAUUGCCAAUGCAGCACAGUACGUCUCCAGCUGAAGGACACCUAGUACAACACUCCAGAAUUGCACGUGGAAUAACAUUUCAUCAAAAGCACAGCCAAAGUUGUUCAUGUUUUUCCUAGAAUGUGACCCUGAAUCUGUUCACCAAGUGAGAGCUGGGAAUUCUAGAGGCCUGAGUGAGUGUGUGCUCUGUAUGCACAUACAUAAGAAUAAUACUUGCUGAUAAAUCUGGUAAAAUCUGAA